rnacentral:rRNA from 1 species
UACAGAGGUCCCAAGCGUUGUUCGGAUUCACUGGGCGUAAAGGGUGCGUAGGUGGUGAGAUAAGUCGGAUGUGAAAUCUCCAAGCUCAACUUGGAAACUGCAUUGGAAACUAUCUUGCUAGAGGGUUUGAGGGGGGACUGGAAUACUUGGUGUAGCAGUGAAAUGCGUAGAUAUCAAGUGGAACACCAGUGGCGAAAGCGACUUCCUGGUCCAGCAUCGACGUUCAGGCACGAAAGCGUGGGGAGCAAACAGG